UACGAAGGGUGCAAGCGUUACUCGGAAUUACUGGGCGUAAAGCGUGCGUAGGCGGUUCGUUAAGUCUGUCGUGAAAGCCCUGGGCUCAACCUGGGAAUUGCGAUGGAUACUGGCGAGCUAGAGUACGGUAGAGGAUGGUGGAAUUCCCGGUGUAGCGGUGAAAUGCGUAGAGAUCGGGAGGAACACCCGUGGCGAAGGCGACUUCCUGGCCUGUUCUUGACGCUGAGGCGCGAAAGCUAGGGGAGCAAACGGG
rnacentral:rRNA from 1 species